UGUUGAGAUGAAGGAGAUUACAUGAUGUUACAUGAUUGUACACACUGUAUAUACACUGUAUAUUUAUUGUAUUCUAUGGUAUACACUGUAUGGGCUGUGAUGAUUACUUGUUAUUUGGGCCACAUCUGUACCGAGCCCAAUUUUAUAUCUGAGCCCCAUUUUCAUUACCUCCAUUGGGUCGUCUGACCCGACCUAAUGACUCAUGUAUAUAUACUUGUACCGCAGAUAAUUUGUGAUGCGGAUUUCAUUUUAUUUUCAUUUCACUUAAUAAAACUCUCUGGAUUCCAGAGCCUUCUCUGAAACGCUCCUCCUUCUCUCUAGUUUCUCUCUCUACAUUCUUCAUGAUUUUUCGGUUUAAUCGGAAUGUUAACAAUUGUGUUUUGCAUCUCUUUCUCCUUGACCUAUCAAAAUGCAAUGACAAUCUUUUACCUCUUUCACAAAAAGGGAAGCGGCGAGUUCUUUCUUGUAGGAAAGGUCUUCGUUUAGUCAAUAUUGUGGCUUACUAUGCUCUUCAUGAUCUGCCCCCUUAACCGUUUAGUACAUAAGACAAGCUAGUUUCUCUUCCUGAACUCCAUCACGAGGGAGUCAGAUCAUAGGAUAAGCUUCUUACAAUUUCUUCACCCGAACAUUCUGAGAGAUUUUCUGCUGAUUUUUGGGUGGUUUCUCCGGUGACUUAUCGGCUUCUAGGGUUUCCGGUGGUUUAACCUAGGGUUCUACUGCUAUCCGGUGGCUCGAUCAGUGCAUGUUUUGGUGCCUUUCCGACAUUCCUGACCACAUUUCCAGUAAGGAUUUCGAAGGUUACACCUAGGGUUUUCUCGGUUGUUUGAAGGCCGAUCUUCUCCGGUCGCGAAGAAGGAAGGUAACUCUGUCCUUAUCUUCAGUAUUAUAUGUGAUUAUCUGACUCUCUGUGUGUGAGUAUCUGGUGUUGUGUGUGAAUACCUUAUUUGGUUAUACUCUGUUUGUUGGUUGUUGUGUGUGAAUACCUGAUUUGGUUAUACUCUGUUUGUUGAAAAACUGUUCUUUUAAGCCGGUUCAUUGACUAUGGCUUCUAACACAAAUACUGGAUACUCCUCUUCUAUAAACUCUUCCNNNNNNNNNNNNNNNNNNNNNNNNNNNNNNNNNNNNNNNNNNNNNNNNNNNNNNNNNNNNNNNNNNNNNNNAAACAGAGUAUAACCAAAUCAGGUAUUCACACACAACAACCAACAAACAGAGUAUAACCAAAUCAGGUAUUCACACACAACACCAGAUACUCACAUACGGAGAGUCAGAUAAUCACAUACCCUUUUUGUAUAUUCAUCUGAUGUCCCUGGGGUAUCUCUAGUUCCCACUCCCUUCUCGGGUAGUGGUUAUAGGGGCUGGAGGCGUAAAAUGAUUGUUGCUUUAUAUGCUAAAAAUAAAAUCGGAUUUGUUGACGCUUCAUAUCCCCGUCCUACCAAUAAUGUGGCUCAACAGAGACUGUGGGAUAUGUGUAAUAACAUGGUCAUUUCCUGGUUGACCUCCUCCUUGUCUCCUCAAAUUGCUGACAGUGUGCAGUACUCUGAUACUGCACAGAGCAUAUGGUCCCAGAUUGAGAAAAGAUAUGGUACCCCUAACAAGACCAAUAUUUUUGAGUUGAAAAGGGAACUUUCCCACACAUCUCAAGGCUCCUUAGACAUAGCCUCAUACUUCAACAAGCUCAAAGGCUUGUGGGAUGAAUUGGGCACAAUGUGCACAAAUCAUGGACAUAGAUGUGUAUGUGCUGCUAAAACUGGAAUAAUAGAGGAAGAUGAUGAAAACAAGGUUUUUCAAUUCCUUAUGGGGCUAAAUGAAGUAUAUAUGGGGGUUAGGAGUUAUUUUUUGAUCAUGCAGCAAUUUCCUUCCCUUGACAGUGUUUACAACAUAGUGCUUAAUGAUGAGAAACAAAGACAAGUUCAAUCUAUUUCUCAUAUCAGUCCAGAUUCUAUGUCUUUUAAUGCUCAUACAAACAAGCACUCAGUUGGGUUUAAUCAGGCCACAGUGCCUCGACCUCCUAUUUUAAGACCCAGAAUUAAUUUUUAGCAAAGCAGAGGGCCUCUAUUUUGCAGAUACUGCAAGAAAUCUGGGCACUUAAUUGAUAAGUGCUACAAGAUACAGGGUUCCCUCAAAGCAUAAAUUACAACAAGGGAAGGAAAUCUGCAGCUGCUCAUGUCUCCACUUCUCUGAAGAGGCCUCUGGAUCUUGGUAAAGUGAAAGCUGGCUUAUACAAACUGUCUAGGGUGCCUCUUUCCCCUUCUCCCUCUUCUGUUUCUCCUUUUACUUCUGUGUGUGCUUUGUCUAAUUUUUGUAAUGAUGACACUUUGUCUGACAGCAAAAAUGUUGCCUUACCUUCACUUGUAAGCAAUUCCACUUGUAAUAAUGUUGUUAUCAAUGAUAUGAAUUACAUUUGGCAUUUAAGAUUGGCACAUACUCCUUUUGCAAAUAUGAGAUAUAUUUCUGGUUUAUCUUUUCCUCUUGCUCCUAAAAAACAUUUUCCCUGUUCUGUCUGCCCUAUGGCAAAGCAGACUAGACUUCCUUUUCAUGACAGCAGUAUCAGUACAACUAGACCAUUUCAAUUAAUACAUGUAGACACCUGGGGACCAUACCACACUUCUACUUCUUCUGGUUAUAAAUACUUCCUUACUAUAGUUGAUGACUUUUCUAGGGCACCCUGGACACACUUAAUGGGAUCCAAAAGCAAUGCCUUUUCGCUGCUUAAGUCUUUCAUUUCCUUUGUUAAGACUCAGUUUAACUCUGUGGUUCAGACUGUCAGAAGUGACAAUGCCUUAGAACUGGGAUCCAGCACUGAGGGAAUAUCAUUUUUUAGUAGCCAGGGGAUUAUUCAUCAAACCUCUUGCCCUCAUUCACCUCAACAGAAUGGUGUUGUCGAAAUAAAACACAGAACACUACUUGAAGCAUGUAGAGCCCUACUUUUUCAGUAUGGCCUACCUGUGUCUUUCUGGGGGGAUUGUCUGUACCACAAUGGUGUUAUUGAAAGAAAACACAGAACACUACUUGAAACAUGUAGAGCCUGCUUUUCCAGUCUGGCCUACCUGUGUCUUUCUGGGGGGAUUGUCUGUUAACUGCCACCUAUCUCCUUAACAAACUACCUACCAGAAUCCUUAAUCAUAAGUCUCCCCAUGAAAUUUUGUAUGGCAAAGCCCCAUCCUAUUUUCAUUUGAGAGCAUUUGGAUGCCUUGCUUAUGCUGUUGUCCCUAUCCCUCAAAGGGACAAGCUUAAACCUAGAGCCCACUCUUGUGUGUUUCUGGGUUACCCCUUUGCCAAGAAGGGUUAUAACAAAGGGACAAGCUUAAAUCUAGAGUCAAUUCUUGUGUGAUUCUGGGUUACCCCUUUGCUAAAAAGGAUUAUAAACUGUAUGACUUGGUUACCAAGAAGUGUUUUGUUUCAAGGGAUGUUGUCUUUCAUGAAACCUAUUUUUCUUUUAAGGAUAAUCCUACUUCUGUUCAUCCUUCUUCUUAUGUUCCUUAUGCUCCCCCUGCUGAUGAUUUUACUGUCUCAGACUUUCCUAUCUUUCCUUCCCCUGAUUCUCCUGUCCUUCCUUCUAAUUCUGAUUCUCCUGCACCUAAUGUUCUUGAUGCUGGUACAUCUUCCCUUCCUUCUUUCAAUCCAGAUCUCUCUGCUCCUGUAUUACCUCCUUCCCAUCCUAUUCCCACCUCUAGAAAGUCUACUAGACAGCAUAAUCCUCCUUCCUACCAUAAGGAUUAUGUCUGUCAACUCCCUGCAUUUUCUAGUUCUUCUUCCUCCACUUUGGAAUCUGAACCUCAAAUCAACAAGACCAGAACCCGAGAUAAAAAUGUCCGUCCUCGAAAAUAUUGAGUCUGUGAUUCCAAAAUUCACCCUUUAUCAGUCCCAGCAUGGCAGGAUGCAAUCAGACAGGAGUUUGCUGCUUUGGAUGCUAAGCAUACUUGGGACAUUGUCCAUCUUCCUGUUGGUAAGAAACCCAUGGGUUGUAAGUGGGUCGAUAAAAUCAAAUACAAGUCUGAUGGAAAGGUAUAAAGCAAGGUUGGUAAUUAGGGGUGAUACACAGGUUGAGGGGAUUGAUUUUACAGACACUUUUUCUCCAGUGAUUAAGAUGACUUCUGUGAAAUGCCUUAUUGCUGUACACAGGUUGAGGGGAUUGAUUUUACAGACACUUUUUCUCCAGUGAUUAAGAUGACUUCUGCGAAAUGCCUUAUUGCUGUGGCUGUCAAGAAUCAUUGGCCUCUUUUUCAGCUUGAUGUCAAUAAUGCCUUUCUUCAUGGUGGUUUGGAUGAGGAAGUUUACAUGAAACUUUCCCCAGGUUUGAGAGUUUCUGCUUCUACUUCUGGUUCUGUUUCUACUCCUUCUUCACCUUCUCCUCCUCUAGUCUAUAAACUAAAGAAAUCCCUGUAUGGGCUAAGACAAGCAUCCAGACAAUGGUAUGCCAAAUUGUCUUCUGCUCUUUAUUCCAGAGGGUAUAUACAUUCUUUGAAUGACUAUUCCUUGUUCAUCAAAGGUAAACCUGGCUCCAUACUUACUGGGGAUGAUAGUGAUGAACUUACUGCUCUAAAACUGUUUCUAGAUGAUCAGUUUAAAAUCAAAGAUUUGGGAUCUUUGCAUUAUUUUUUGGGCCUUGAAAUGUCAGUUGUCCCUGGUGGGAUGCUCCUUCAUCAGCAUAAGUAUAUUUCUGAUUUGCUGCAUCAGUUUGACUGUGUCAAUGUCUCUUCUGUUGUGUCUCCUUUGGACAUCAAUGUAAAAUUUCAUGCUGAUUCUGGUGACAUCUUGCCCUCUCCUGACCAGUACAGGAGUCUAGUUGGAAAGAUGAUGUUCCUGACUCAUACCAGGCCUGACAUAUGUUUUGCAGUCCAGCAUCUGAGUCAAUUCCUCAAAUGCCCCAAACUUCCCCAUAUGACUGCUGCCCUGCAUGUUCUGAGAUACCUUAAAGGGCACUCCCUCCUUGGGUUUAUUUUAUUCUGCUCAUGCUGAUUUCUCUGUUACUGGGUAUUCUGAUAGUGACUGGGCUGCAUGCCCCGGGCACUCCCUCCUUGGGUUUGUUUAUUCUGAUCAUGCUGACUUCUCUGUUACUGGGUAUUCUGAUAGUGACAGUGCUGCUUGCCCUGAUACUAGGCGAUCUGUUACUAGAUUUUGUGUGCUUUUGGGUGGCUGUUUGAUCAGUUGGAAAUCGAAAAAACAGCCUGUUGUUUCUCUCUCCUCUGCUGAGGCAGAAUAUAGAGCCCUCAGCAAGGUUGUUGCUGAGUUGACUUUGCUCUCUCGUUUGUUGGUUGACCUUGGGGUAUCUGUUUCCUCUCCUAUUUAUGUAUAUUGUGAUAGUAUGGCUGCUGUUCAUAUUGCUAACAAUCCUGUUUUUCAUGAACGUACCAAACAUAUCGAGGUGGAUUGCCAUUUUGUCCGGGUUGCUAACAAUCCUGUUUUUCAUGAACGUACCAAACAUAUCGAGGUGGACUGUCAUUUUGUUCGGGACUUGCUACAAUCUGGUUUUCUCAAGCUGGUUCAUGUGCCUACCUCUCGUCAGCUGGCCGACCUGCUCACUAAGCCACUGACUGGCACUAUGCUUCUUUCGCUGCUCACCAAGUUGCAGGUGGUUUCCUCCUCCAACUUGAGGGGGUUGUUGAGAUGAAGGAGAUUACAUGAUGUUACAUGAUUGUACACACUGUAUACACACUGUAUAUUUAUUGUAUUCUAUGGUAUACACUGUAUGGGCUGUGAUGAUUACUUGUUAUUUGGGCCACAUCUGUACCGAGCCCAAUUUUAUAUCUGAGCCCCAUUUUCAUUACCUCCAUUGGGUCGUCUGACCCGACCCAAUGACUCAUGUAUAUAUACUUGUACCUCAGAUAUUUUGUGAUGCGGAUUUCAUUUUAUUCUCAUUUCACUUAAUAAAACUCUCUG
rnacentral:lncRNA from 1 species